UGAUGGACAAAGGAGCUGCGAUUAAAUAAACUUUUAAUGGGAUGAGGAAAGAAGAGAAAGGCUUUACAUAAUAAUAGUUGUAUAUAAAUAAUAAAAGGCGAUUAUCUUUGCUUUUCAGUUAUGGAAGUCAUGUAUUGAAUAACGGUGGCUUUAGGGGAUUUGUUUGUCCUCCUAAUACUGCCUCCUCUACUUUUUUAAUGUUAUCAUAAUAAUGUGUGUGUUUUUCCCUUCCUCUAAAGUCUGCAUUUUGAAUUCGCUUGUAAUUGAAAUAAUGUGGCUUGGGGAUUUUGUUUGGAUCCUCUACUUUUUAGGUGAGAAUAAUAAAAUGGGAGUUGUUGUUUUCAAUGCUUUCAAGUUACCUUGUUUCUAUUGCUAAUUUAAUUAAUAAUUCAGAUAAAAAUAAUUUCUAACACAUGUUUUAUUUGUUUUCAUUUUUUUUGAUUUAAUUUAAACAAGUAAUCAUUAACGGAGAAAGUCGUACUUGAGUAACAUGAUCAACUUGGGGGAUUUGUUUGUAUCCUCUACUUUUAUGUGAUAAUAAUAAAAUGGGAGUGUGUUUUCAAUGCUUUCAAGUUAUCUUGUUUCUAUGGCUAAUUUAAUUAAUAAUUCAGCAUAAAAAAAUAAUAAUUCUAACACAUGUUUUAUUUGUUUUCCUUUUAUUUUGAUUUAAUUUAAACAAGUUAAAUCAAUUAAUGGAGAAAGUCGUACUUGAGUAACAUGAUCAACUAAAAGGAUUAAUUCAGUUAGAAAUUUUAAGCAAUUUUGAUCAAGUUUUGAUUUAUUUAUAGAUCGACCUAAUUCCCAAAUGAGCUUUAAUUAAGUUUAAUUCACAUGCAAGUUUAUACAAGUUUUUGGAACAUAUACUUGGGAGGAGAUUUAUAAAAAAAAAAUCUAAAAUAAAAUAAAGUGAUGAAAAUGGAAUUUAAGCCAAAAUUAAGCCAGAACGACUGUGUGGGGUCGGCAAAAAAAAGCAGUCUUGGUUGGGUGGGCCAAUGGGAUGCCCACCCCUAACUCGAACACCGACUCUCUUUUCAAUAAUAUAACUCUAUUUUAUAAAACUAAGUAAUGGUACUGAUAUAUUAAUUUGAGCUUUCAAAUUUCAGAAAUAAAUAGCUUUUGCAAUUUUGCUUCUUAGCAUAACUCAUAAUUAAAAAAUAUGUUAUGUUGAUAGACUAAAUAUGAGUAUUGACGAUAUUAUUUAGCGUUGUCAAAACAUCAGAAGAAUUUUUAAAUCAAACCAGUUUGGAUUGUAUCAUAUGGCGUGGUCCUGUUCUACAGUUAAGAUGUAGAAUUAGUUUUUUACUUCAUAAUCGUCGUUCGAAUCAAACUGAAUUAGUUUCUAUUUAUAAACAUAUAUUGUGUAUAUGUGUAAGUUAAACCCUUCUUAACGCUACUAUUUGCUUGUUGUUUUAUGUUGAGGUUAUUUAUUAAUACUUGUUUGAUGUUAUAUUGAUUUUUUGGGCUUUUAAUUUGUUGUUAUUAUGUUUAGUUUUUUCUGGGUUGGAUGUUACGUGAUGUGUUAUUUUAAAACGUGGAUUGUUUAGAAUUUAGAUGUUAAAAUUAAAAUAUAGAUGUUUAAAAUUAAAAUGGAGAGAAAAAAUACAAUAUUUAGUUAAUAUUUGUAAAUUUAAUUUUAUAAAAUAGAUUUUAAAAAUUUAUUUGGUUGACGAUUGAAAACAUGAUCUUUAUAAAGUUCUCGAGAAAAAACUCAUUUUUAGAAAAAAUUAAAAUGGUAUUUUCCAAUUCCCGAAAACUAUUUCCACUUAAAGAUAAAUAAUAUAUAAUAUUUAAAAUAUGUUCUCUACGAUAAUGUAUUGUACUGUAUUUAGGAGCUCUCACUAUGUUUCUAUUUCUUGUCUUCGCAAUCGUUAUAGUUAACAAUGUACAAAAAUAUAAAGUACAAUAAUAUAUGAUGCUGUAUUUAGGAGUUCGCAUGAUUGGGAAAAUUUCAGGACAGUGGAGGAAACAAGCUUUAAUAUCAAGACAAUGAAAAGAAAAUCAAAAUUUCAAUAACACGGACAUUAAGGGGAUAUUUGGUAACUUUUUUUUUUUUUUUUUAUGUUUGUUUAUUUAUUUUUAUAUUUUUUGUUUAAUUUUUAUAAAAUAAAAAAAAUAAAAUAUAUUUGGUUUACCCUAUUUUUAAAACUAUUUUAAAAUAAAAAAUAUGUUUAUAUUCACUUUUUUUAAAACUAUUUAAAAAAAAAAGUGAAGGAGGUAGUGGAGGAGGCGGCGGUUGGAAGUGGAUGUGGUGGUUGGAGGUGGAAGUGGCGGUGGAUGUGGUGGUUGUUGGUGGUGGUUGGAGGUGGCGGUUGGAGGUGAAAGUGGAGGUGGAGGUGGAGAUGGUGGUUGGUGGUAGUGGCGGUGGUUGGUGGUUGAGGAGGUGGUGGUGGUGGUGGAGGUUAAAGGUUGGUGGAACUGGUUGGGGGGGGGGAAGGGGGGGGGAGGGGGAGUAGGGGACCUGGGGGACCAAGGUGGGCGGGGGUGGUCGGUGGGUUUGGUG
rnacentral:lncRNA from 1 species